AUACUACUCCCUCCGUUCGAAAUUACUUGUCUCAAAAAUGGAUGUAUCUAGAACUAAAAUACGUCUAGAUACAUCCAUUUCUGCGACAAGUAAUUCCGAACGGAGGGAGUAUAUA
rnacentral:pre_miRNA from 1 species